rnacentral:rRNA from 1 species
UACGAAGGGGGCUAGCGUUGCUCGGAAUCACUGGGCGUAAAGGGUGCGUAGGCGGGUCUUUAAGUCGAGGGGUGAAAUCCUGGAGCUCAACUCCAGAACUGCCUUUGAUACUGGAGAGCUUGAGUCCGGAAGAGGUGAGUGGAACUCCGAGUGUAGAGGUGAAAUUCGUAGAUAUUCGGAAGAACACCAGUGGCGAAGGCGGCUCACUGGUCCGGUACUGACGCUGAGGUGCGAAAGCGUGGGGAGCAAACAGG